rnacentral:rRNA from 1 species
UACGUAGGGUGCAAGCGUUAUCCGGAAUUAUUGGGCGUAAAGAGCGUGUAGGCGGCCAGGUAGGUCUGCUGUGAAAACUCGAGGCUCAACCUCGAGACGUCGGCGGAAACCAUCUGGCUAGAGUCCGGAAGAGGAGAGUGGAAUUCCUGGUGUAGCGGUGAAAUGCGCAGAUAUCAGGAAGAACACCCGUGGCGAAGGCGGCUCUCUGGGACGGUACUGACGCUGAGACGCGAAAGCGUGGGGAGCGAACAGG